rnacentral:tRNA from 1 species
GCGACUAUAUGUUAAUGGUAGACCAAUCGUCUUCCAAACGGGGAGUGUCAGUUCAAGUCUGACUGGUCGCA